rnacentral:rRNA from 1 species
AUGCACGCUGGCGGCGUGCUUAACACCUGCAAGUCGAACGGAAAGGCCCAAGCUUGCUUGGGUACUCGAGUAGCGAACGGGUGAGUAACACGUGGGUGAUCUGCCCUGCACUUCUGGAUAAGCCUGGGAAACUGGGUCUAAUACCGGAUAGGACCACAUUUUGGAUGGUGUGGUGGAAAGUUUUUCGGUGUGGGAUGAGCUCGCGGCCUAUCAGCUUGUUGGUGGGGUAAUGGCCUACCAAGGCGUCGACGGGUAGCCGGCCUGAGAGGGUGUACGGCCACAUUGGGACUGAGAUACGGCCCAGACUCCUACGGGGGGCAGCAGUGGGGAAUAUUGCACAAUGGGCGCAAGCCUGAUGCAGCGACGCCGCGUGGGGGAUGACGGCCUUCGGGUUGUAAACUCCUUUCGCUAGGGACGAAGCGUUUUUGUGACGGUACCUGGAGAAGAAGCACCGGCUAACUACGUG